UGAAGAUUUUUUCCCCCUUCUUGUCAGUGGUUUUGUCAUGCUCUCACCUUUUGCAUUGGAGCAGUGGGCAGCUGUGCGGGCAGGGAGAAAAAGAAAUGGAGAUCUGGUGUUCUCUCUAUGGCUGACAUUGAUUGUCUGCUCAUAUCUUUAAUAUGUUUUUGUCUUGAUCAAAGCAAGAGAUGCAGAAUAGCAGAGAGGAGGGAGUAAGGAAAGUCACAUGGGCAGCCCAUGGGCAGCAGCAAGCUCAAAGGAAAUUGACUGACUGGCCGCUUGGGCGCAUUUCAAUAUAUGGAAAUGACCAGAGGCUUCUGCAAUAAAUCAACACCCAGCACUGUCAUUUUUCCCAGUUUUUUGCUUCAUUUUCCCGAUUCUUUUUCCACCUCACCUCCGGAAGCAUCCUUUCAAACGAGCUUUUUUUUUCUUCUCCCUAGUACCGUUAAUUGGAGCGCGGUGUCAAUGAUUUCUAACACUUGCCGUGUACUUGUAGAGCUGAUAGUGUUGUUUUUUUGUUUGAUGUCUCCCUUGCAUAUUGCACAUUGUUCCGUGCCUCUGACACAUGCUUUUAUGUACAGACGGCACAGAAGUGUGAAGGGAUUGUGGUGCGGGGCUGGCUGCAGGUGAACACAAACCCAACACCUCAUGCCGCCCCUCUCUCCGUUGUCUGUCUGUCUGUCUGUCCCCACAUGCAAAUGCACCCGCACAUAUAUAAUCUCCUGGCUAAUUACAACAUAAAGCAUCGUUGUUCAGUC